CAAUAGCGUAUAUUAAAGUUGUUGCAGUUAAAAAGCUCGUAGUUGGAUUUCUGGUGGGAGCGAUCGGUCUGGCGCUUAGCGCGAGUACUUGCAUCGUCUCCGGCCAUCCUUGGGGAGAGUCUGUCUGGCAUUAAGUUGUCGGGCAGAGGAUCCUCAUCGUUUACUGUGAAAAAAUUAGAGUGUUCAAAGCAGGCUUAUGCCGUUGAAUAUAGUAGCAUGGAAUAAUAAGAUAGGACUUUGGUACUAUUUUGUUGGUUUGCGCACCAAAGUAAUGAUUAAUAGGGACAGUUGGGGGUAUUCGUAUUCCGUUGUCAGAGGUGAAAUUCUUGGAUUUACGGAAGACGAACUACUGCGAAAGCAUUUACCAAGGAUGUUUUCAUUAA
rnacentral:rRNA from 1 species